rnacentral:lncRNA from 1 species
UCUUUUUUCUUAGAACUUUACAGUCAUACACUGUAGCUGGGUCCAUCCCAGAAGAAGCCGACAUCAAGGAGUCAACACGCUCCCUCUCAGGCCUGGUCCUCCUUGUUCCCCCAUUAUCCAUCCUCGAUGGCGCUCCUACACACACUGAAGGUAGGUUCCCUGUGGGUCACAAUGAGGUUCUGUUAAAUUCCUUCUGAUCUCCUCCCCUUCCGGUCCCUCCUCCCUCCCUCUUGAUUUCUUCCUCCCGCUUCCACACUGCUUGUCCCUGCAUCUUUAUGACAUUUGACCUCCCUGCCUUCUGCCCCUCGUUUUGCUCUGGCAUGAGAGAAAACGUCUGACCUUUGAUUUUCUGACCCUUCCUUUUUUAGUUUGCACCACGUUCUCCAGCUCCAUGUGUUUCCUGGCCAAUGCCAUCAUUUUAUUCUUCUUUUUGACUGAGUAAGACUCCACUGUGUGUGUACCACAUUUAUGUGAUGCAUUCAUCUAUCGACAGGCUUCUGGACUGAUUCCACCACUUGGUCAUUGUGAGUUGUGGUGCUGCAGACACUGGUUUGCAUGUCCCUUUAUGGUAUGUUGAUUUUAGGUCUGGUGGAUGAUACAGGGAGUAGGGUAGUUGGCUCAUAUGGUGGUUCCAUUCCUAGUUUUUUGAGGACUCUCCAUAUUGCUUUGCAGAGUGGUUGUGCUAAUUUACAGUCUCACCAACGGUGGAUAAGGGCACUUUCCCCCCACAUUCUUGCCAGUAAUCAUUAUCAUUUGUAUUCUUGAUAAUUACCACAGAAUUAGUGAUUUCUAAUGUCAACUCAAGCAAGUGUCCCUCAGGUUCAGAAACGAAUUCCUGGCUCCUGUGUGGGCCACUCAGAACCCUAUUUCUUGGAGGCAAUUUUUGUAGUCAUUUUGAGUUUCCUCGUUUUUCCAACUGCACUCUCACCACUGCCUUUGUUGACCUCCUCUGUUUCUGGCAUCCAUUACUCAUAUUGACUUGCCAUGUUGGAAGAGAAGGGCGGACUGGAGUGGCCUGGGGCUGCUGGAUCCACAGACCCAGCUCAUCAGUAGUCUUCCCCAGAAACCCUCCUGGAAGCUCCCGUGGAGUCCUUUCUAACUGGGCAUCUGAGAACCACAGCAGCAGGGCCCAUGGCUGUGGCUGGUGGUGGUGGCCCCUCCCCCCUUGAUUCACCUGGGGUGCUCUUUAUACUUCUGUGUUUUCUAAUUAUGCAAAAAGCUUUGGAAGCAGCAAGGCCCAUUUUCUGGAUUUGGCUGUUGAAGCCAGGGAGACUGGAGUUCUGCACGGGAGGUCUUGGAUUUGUGAGGGAACAUCUUCAUGAGGGAGACGGCGGCUGCCAGAUGCAUGGGGACACAGCAAGCAGGCACUGUCAAAGCAAGGGCAGUGCUCUGUGCCAUACUCCUAGCAUCCGCGUGAGAGCCUGUGGAGACUGCUUGCAGGAGCAGGCAUGCACCUGCACAGGGGUGAGAAGGAGCAUCUCCUGUGGGGCUUGGUUUGUGGUGGUGGUUUGUUCUCUAGGACCUCACUGUGUUGCCUAGGCUGGUCGUGAGCUCUGGGCUCAAGAAGCCCUCCUCCUGCCCCUGCCUCAACCUCCCCUGUAGCUGGGAUCACAGGCACUUGUGCCGCCGCCUCUGGCUGGCUCUCGCUAUGGUGUUUUAACAGUCUAUUGAGGAAAUCAUUUGCACACACACACUCAUGGAUCACAAGCAUGCAGAGUGAGGAGAUCUGGUGUCCACCAUGCAGCUGAGCUUUAGAGCAAGUCUUCAUCACCAGACGUGUUCUCAGCUCCCUGCCGUGGGAUCCUGCGCCUCCUGGGGUGGCAUCUGCUGGACAUGGGCACCUGUCCUAGCCGUCAGGCAGAAGCAUCACAUAGUGGACUGUCUGGCUGACUUCAGAGACCCUGGUGACUUUGAGAUUGCCCCGUGCUGUUGCUGAGCUGGCUCCCCACUUUUUGCAGGUGGUGGCAAUCCACUGUGUAGCUGCCCUGUGUUAAAUAUAUCCUUUCACUGAUUGAUGCACUUUUGUUGAUUUCCAUUUUUAAGGCUAUUUUAAAAGAAAAGUGACAUUGGCCAUUGAUGGGCAAGUCUGUUUGACAGAUUCUCACUUAUCUUGGGUAGAUUCCCUAGGACUGGAAUUACCAGGUUAGAAGGUAAGUGUGUACUUGACUUUUUUUUCUUUUCUCUCUGUUUUUUUUUUUUUUGUUGUUGUUGUUCUGGAAUGGAACCCAGGGUGCCUCACCCUGACCUACACCUCUAGCCCUUUUUAUUUUUUAUUUUGAGUCAGAGUGUCACUAAUUCGCUGGGGCUGGCCUCCAAUUUGCAAUCCUCCUGCUUCAGACUCCUGAGUCUCUGGGAUCACAGGCCUGUGCCACCGUGCCUGGCUAUAUUUAACUUUUAAAGAGGUUGUCAAACUGUUUCCCAAGUGGCUGUCCUAGCCUGAGUCUUUCCCAGCUCCACCUGAGAGAUCUAGUGGCUGCAGACCCUGGCCAAGAGUUGGCGUGGCCAGAUGGUCAGCUUUGCCCUUCUGGGGUUACGAAGUGUUCUAACUGUGCUUCCUUAGAUCUAAAUCCAUCCCUCCUCCACUCGCCCUGUGGUCAACUAGAUCAGCUGUUUUUUUCCCCCUAUUUCUGUAUUCUUGAAGUUCUGGUGCCCAAGGCCCUACUUACCUGGGGAGAGACUGCCUUUCCCAAGCCUCUGUGUUUGUUAGAAAUAGCAGUGGGCUCAGCUGGCGGGUCACUUAGAUUUUCAUCACCAUCACCAAAGUACCCAGGAAGAACAAGAGAAGCUAAAGUUUAUUUUGGGCUCAUGGUUACAGAGUUUCCAUCUGUGACUGGUUGACUCCAUUGCUCUGGGGCUGAGAGGUGAUUUAGAACAUCAUGGCGGAAGGGUGAGGCCAGGGAAAUGGUUCAACUGGUGGUGGCUGGAGGCAGGGAGAGCCGGAGAAGUCAGAGGGACAAAACACGGUCCCCUGAGUGCACGCCCAAGCGACCUCUUCCCCCAGGCAGCUGUGUGCCCACCCUGGCCACCCAGUGCAGAGGUCCUUUCAAGUUGUCACUCCAUCAGGGGGAUGGGGCAUCCCGUCAUCAGGUCACAACAGCACUCACCUCACCUCCUCAUUAACACAGAGCUUUGGGGCACCUCAGACCCAAACCAGAGCAGCUGGGAAUGGCAUUCACCUGCCGAGUCGUCAGUCUCCAGUCUAGGCCCCCGCCACGGCCUCACCAACUCCCCCACCAAGCCCCUGACCCACCUGCCCAAACCAUCACGGUUCAGGGCUCCCAGCUGCCAGCCCAGAGCAGGAAGGAAUUAGUCCAAGGAGGCCAGGCCGGGCCGGCUUCCGUGCCUCUGCCAUUCCUACGGAAACCUAGGAAAGGCUCCGGCCACUGCAUUCCUUCCCUGCUCCUUCUGCCCCUAACUGGCCCUGGGCUUCACUGGGGGCUGCGUACCUUUGCAAGCCCUUUCUCCAGAGAAAUAUAAGCAAUCAAAGUCUCCUCAAGAACCCAGGCCUCUCUGUGUGGCUCUCAGCCCCUCUGCACAUUGAAACCCUGCGGGCACAUUUGGGAGCAAGUAGGAAUCUCACUGUGAUUUAGUGUGGAUUUUCUCUCUCUGUGCUCCUUGGCCACCCCCGUCUGCUUGUGUGAAAUCUCUGCUCAACUCUUUUGGCCAUUUGAAACAUUGGGUUGCUUUUUUCCCUAAUUAAUCCCUUAUAGGAGUUUUGAAAUAUUAUGGCCAUAAUCGUUUUCAGAAAUAUGCUUUUCAAAGAUGUUCUCCCAGUCUGUGUUUGGUUCAUCUUUCAAAUUUACCAACGGAGCAUUCAACAAGCAGAACUUUCAGUGUUGGUGAUCUUUAGCUUACUACCCUUACUCUCUUGCUGUGUGGAUAUGUGUGGAUAUGCGUGCAUGUGCACAUAUAUGUACCUGUGUACCGUGUAUACAUGUGUGUACACAUACAUCUGUGUUUAUGCCUGUGUGUAUGUGAAUAUGCAUGUAUACACAUGUGGGUGUUCUGUUUAGAGGAGAUUUGCUUAAUUCAAAACCACAGAUAUAGUGGCCUGUGUAAUUUUUGGAAGUUGUUAGGAUUUCAUUAUCCAAUGAGGCCCCUUACGAUUCAUUUUGGAGUAUUUUGUUUAUGGUGUGUGGUAAGGAUCAAGAUUUAUGUUUUCCCCACACUUUUAAUUUUCUUUCAUGAUAUUGUUUUGGAAAUUUUAAGCCUUUGCACUACAUGUAAUUUUAAUUAGCUUUCCCAUUUCUGCAAAACACUUGCCAAAAUUCAAAUGAAAGUUAAUUGACAAUCCAGAUCAAUUUGUGGAGAAUUAUUUUCUUAAAAAUAUUGGCUCAUUCAAUCCAUAACUAUUACAUGUCUUUUCUUUUACUGAGUUUUUAAAAAAUUUCUCUCAGGAAUGUUUUGUGGUUUUUACUGUACAGAUUUUUUUUUUAUUUAUUUGCUUUAAUUAGUACACAUGACACUAGAAUGUAUUCAUGCACUUUCACAUAUCAUAUAGAUAUACACUCUCAUUUUUCUGAGUGUACAUGUUGCAGAGUCAUAUUGGUCAUACAGUCACAUAUACACAUACAAUAAUAAUGUCUGUUUCAUUCUACUGUCUUUCCUAUCCCCACAUCCCCUCCCCUCCCCUCUUAUCACUUCCCUCUACCUAAUCUAAGGUAAUACUAUUCUUCCCUAGUGCCCCCUGCCUUAUUGUGAGUUAGCAUCCACAUAUUAGAGAAGACAUUCAGCCUUUGGUUUUGUGGAAUUGGCUUAGUUCACUUAGUAUGAUAUUCUCCAACUCCAACCAUUUACUGGCAAAUGCCAUAAUUUCUUCUUUAAAGCUGAUUAAUAUUCCAUUGUGUAUAUCUACCAUAUUUUCUUUAUCCAUUCCUCUGUUGAAGGGACAUCUAGGUUGGUUCCAUAGUCUAGCUAUUGUGAAUUGAGCUGCUAUAGACAUUGAUGUGGCUGUGUCACUGUAGUAUGCUGAUUUUAAGUCCUUUUGGUAAAAAGCAAGGAGUGGGAUAGCUGGGUCAGAUUUUGAACACACUUUUUAAAGCUAUUCCUCAGCAUUUUAUACAAUUAUUUACCCAUUGCCAUUUACCACUGGAAAUGCAUUUUUGCAAUGUAUUUUCAAAUUGCUUAUUGUAAAUAUAUAGAAGUACAAAUGAUUUUUUUCCUGUAUUUGGGCCUUGUGUUCUGCAAUAUUGCUAACUGUGAUUAUUAAUUAUAGUAGCUUUUCUGCAGAUUUGAAAAAAGUCUACAUUAAUGGUUCUAACGUGUGUGAAUGAAGGAUUUCCCCCCCUUUCCAACCAGUUCUCUUCCAUGGCCCUGUGUACCUUUGUGGCUCCAGCUGGGGGCUUCCCCAGGGGCCCGGGUCUCCUCCACACCUGGUUGAGAAGUCCAGCCUUCUUCAUGACAGUGGACACUGGCUGCGAGGUCUUAAAGGUGCCUUAAUGAGCUUGAGGAGGUUUUCCUCCAUUUUUAGUUGCUAGAAGCUUUUAUCAAAAAUGGGAGCUUUGCUUCUCGGGGGAAUUAUUUUUCUUUAUCUACUAAGAUAAACAUAUUUUUUUUCUGUUUAAAUCUAUUAACACAAUAUGUUCCAUUAAUUGAUUUUCAAAUGCAAAACUAACGAAGCAUUACUGGGAUUACUCCUCUUAGUUGUGACUGAAUUAUCAUUUUACAGGCCAGUAUCUUUCAUGAACGUAGGAACAAAAAUUCUGAAAUAUAUGAGUAAAACAAGCUCAUUAAUACAUCAAAGGAUAACACAGAGUGUACAAGACGGUUUAUUGAAGGAAUUUGGAAAGGCAACCAUUGUAAUUCACCAUAUUAAUAGAGAGGAGAAAAAUUUCAAUUGAUGCUGAAAAAAAUUUUAGUGAAAUUCAAAAUUUCUUCCCUGAAAACAUUCAGAAAAUAAUAGACAAAAAAAGGCAUUUCUCAAGCUGCUGUGGGACAGUAAGAAGAUUUUUAGAGCUGACACCAUCAUCAAUAUGAGAUAGGGAAUGUUUUGCAGCUUGGACACAAGGCAUGUAUGUCUACCGUAUCCGACUUUGAACUGGGGCCUUUGUAUAAUAAGGCAACAAGCCCAUGAACAAGCAAACCAGACAGAGGUGGGAAAGGUUUCUUGGAGAACAUGACUGUCUUUGAAAAAUCCAAAGGACUCUACAGAAUGUCUACUUAGAACUGAUAUUCAUAGUUACCAUGGUUAUAGGGUACAAAGUUCAUAUUUGAAAAAAAUCAGUUAUCUUCCUACAAAAAUGACAACAAGUAGUAGGGGCAUUUAACAUUGUUGAAGUAUCAGACUAAAAUGGAUAAAUUAAACCAAAUACAGUUCAUGAAAACCAAAUGGAAUGAACUAAAAUUGCAUUCCAUGCAUACACAACUUUGUCAAGAAGAACCCAACUUAUAUGUGCAAUUAUAAUGCUCUAGUAAAAAAAUAAAAUUAAAUUAAAUUGAAAAAAUGUAGGUUCUGACUUGAUAGUUUCAGGGUGGAGCUUGAGAUUAUACUUUUCUAAACAAAGAGGCGGAGGAUGCUGGGCCAUGGACCACAUUUUGAGUAAAAGCCUUAGAAGAAACACAACCACCCCAGGGAAAGCGGCAGAACACUGCAGGGUGAUCACAGGAGGCGAAGGACCCCAUAAGACACCACAUGAGUCGCUGUAUUGAGGAAAUGCCCAUUCUGCCCAAAUUCAAUGCCAAUCAAAGGGCCGAUUAGCCUUUUUUGUACAAACUGAUAAAUUGAUUCUAAAUUGCAUGUGGCAUUGUAUAAGACUAAAAUAGUCAAAACUUUGAAAAAGAAGCGCCAACCUAGAGAGUGUAUGACUUGGGUUCUUGCCUUGCUAUGAAGGUGCAUGAUCAACCCAAUCUCAUAGGAGGGAAAGGUAGACUCAGAACCCAGCAGAGCAGUGGGAGCCCCGGAGGAGACCCAGAUGUGAGCCAUGAAACUGACACUGAUGCCUCCGUCCCCAGAUAACUCCAUAUCCAUGGGCAGGAAGCACACCCAUCAUGUGCCAUCUCACGUCAUCACACAAUGAUUUUGAGAUGAGUCAGAAGCCUCAAUGUCAAAGCAGAAAAUGUCAAACAUUGAGAAAAAAUGCAGGAUUCAAGUCUCACAACUGUGAGGUAUGCAAGUACUUCUGAGGGACAAAACAAAAGUAUUUUCAAAAGAGAAAAGAAAAUACUGAUUUCAAACAGUUCUCUGUGAAUGAAAAAUUAAACAGAAUGAAAGAGCAAACCAUAAUAAACAUGCAUAUGCAAUUGUUCACUAUAAUGCAAUGAUUAUAUAGUGUAUAGUGUAAUUUGCACAUAAUAUAUAAUGGCAUAUUAUUAUUAGUUAAUAACGUUGUACUGUAUUGUUUGAUAAGAGAUGUGUAUACACAGAUACAUCUUACAUCUCAAUAAGAAGACAGUAGGCCUAACAAAAACAUUUCCAGAAUUUUAAACAGACACUUCUCAAAACAAGAUAACAAAUGACCCAAGAAGUGUUUAAUAUCAUCCAUCAGAAGGGAAUACAAAUUUGAACCAUAAUGUCACAACAAACCCACUAACAAGGCAAAGUCAAAACACCGUGGCAACAUCAAGGGUUGCCCGUGAUGUGCGGUGACUGAGACUCUCAGCAUUGCUGGUUAGAGUGUGAACUUACACCAGUGUUUUUGAAAACCGUGAAGUUUAAUAUAAAGUUCAACAUUCACUUACCUUUGUCCGUAAAGUUCUCCUCUUAGGCAUUUGCCCAAGAGAAGUGAAAACAGGUGAUCAAAAAAGAUUUUCUUCAACUAGCUACGGUAGCUGGAUUUCAACAGCCUCACACUGAAACCACCCAACGACCCACCAACAGACAUGUGCAGACAUUGUGCAGACAUUGUGGCCUGUUCAUGACGUGGGGGUCAAAGGUAAUGAACUAGAAUGUACAGCACAGAUGGAUUUCAGAGCAUUCUGGGAAUGGUGCAAACGAGUGUGCUUUGCGUGGUCCCGCUCACAUGUGUUUGUUCUACCUCAGACACUGAGACAUGAGCCUAUCAGUGUGAUCCAGGUUGCCUGGGUCUGAGGAGGAGAAAGGCUGGGAAGGAGGGAUUUUAGAGCUCUUAGAAAUGUUUCGUUUGCUGAUAGAGGUUGUGACUUCAUGGAUAUGCAAUUUAUGAAAACUACUGAAUUUAUACCUCCUACCUGAGAUGUUAUAUAUAAAUAAAUAAAAUACAUAUAUUCUUAUGGUUUUACUGAAAUUAUAUAUUAAUGUCUAAGUGCUUACUGAAGAGCAUAUUUGCAUUACAGUGAUAUCAUCUACAAAAUCCUUGUCAGAGUGGACAUAUCAACCAUUUUAACCUAUUCAGGUCCGAGGGAUGAUGAGCAACAUCUUGCUUGUUCUAACUCUCCUCAGUGCCUACUCUACUUGAAAUGUUCCCAUGUCACUUGUCUUUCUGCUUUUGUGGAAUUAGUCGCUUCCUCGGUGCCUUUGCUUUUUUGUUUAUUUGCUACUCUUUCCAUCAUUAAUAAGAGAUCAUCUUUAUAGAUUAUGAUGUAUUCAAAUAAGAUCAUGCUCCUUAUAAUUUUGGUCUUUCAAGUCAGUUAAAAUAUCUUUGAGCUUGAAUAAAUUCUGGAGUUUUUGUAGUAUAAUCUAUUGGUGUUCAGGGGUCAAGACCUUUUGAUAGAUCAAAAACUUUUUUUCUCAUAAUUUGCAAUAAAAUAUGUAUUUUCUUAUAUCUAUUGGAUUUUCAUAAUAACAUAUUUUAUUCUUUCUGAAUUUAUUUUUAACAAUGUGAUGUGACAUUUAUUAAAUAGAUAGCAAAUUUUCCU